rnacentral:lncRNA from 1 species
CUCGAACGGAGAAUUUAGCAGAGUUUUGAGAUAAAGAAAAGGAGCUUAAAGAAUAACAUAUCUGGGUCUCCCUUUUAUAGGCGGAGGAGGCAAAGGAUUGAUGGCAACAUUUGUAACCGCCUGGCAGCGGGCCGCCCAUGGUCAGGGGAAUUGAUUGCGAAAGAUAGUGGGGUAGACCCGUGGCUAUCGCCAUAGCCUGCCACGUAGGGCCUGUUGUAGGUAGUGGGGCGGCAUCCGUUGCCGCUAGUUGUCAGC